rnacentral:rRNA from 1 species
AGUCGAGCGGUAACAGGAAUUAGCUUGCUAAUUUGCUGACGAGCGGCGGACGGGUGAGUAACGCGUAGGAAUCUGCCUGGUAGUGGGGGACAACAUGUGGAAACGCAUGCUAAUACCGCAUACGCCCUACGGGGGAAAGGAGGGGAUCUUCGGACCUUUCGCUAUCAGAUGAGCCUGCGUGAGAUUAGCUAGUUGGUGGGGUAAAGGCUCACCAAGGCGACGAUCUCUAGCUGGUCUGAGAGGAUGAUCAGCCACACUGGGACUGAGACACGGCCCAGACUCCUACGGGAGGCAGCAGUGGGGAAUAUUGGACAAUGGGGGCAACCCUGAUCCAGCCAUGCCGCGUGUGUGAAGAAGGCCUUAGGGUUGUAAAGCACUUUCAGGAGUGAGGAAGGGUGUACGGUUAAUACCCGUAUAUUUUGACGUUAACUUCAGAAGAAGCACCGGCUAACUCUGUGCCAGCAGCCGCGGUAAUACAGAGGGUGCGAGCGUUAAUCGGAAUUACUGGGCGUAAAGCGCGCGUAGGCGGUUUGUUAAGUCGGAUGUGAAAUCCCAGGGCUCAACCUUGGAAUGGCACCCGAUACUGGCAGGCUAGAGUACGGUAGAGGGGUGUGGAAUUUCCUGUGUAGCGGUGAAAUGCGUAGAUAUAGGAAGGAACAUCAGUGGCGAAGGCGACACUCUG